ensembl:lncRNA
AUGGUUUAUGGACAGUCCUUUGAAUGCCAUUUUGGUUACCUGACUCUUAAAUUUCACAGGGUACCCAAAAUAAGUGGCGCAGUUGGUGGGAAGAAAAAGCUAAAGUGUUGUAGACACCAAGUGAGAGGCCCAGAGGAAGUGAAAGAAGAUUUAGGAAGGGACUAUCAUCAUAUUUGGCAAUCCUUGACAUCAAGAAGUUUGAAAACCACUGUAGAAUCAAUAGAGAACACAUCAAUAUCUGAAUAUGCUUUUACUAAUAUAUGUGCCAAAUGAAAAGUCUGUGGGCAUGUCUUAAUUGUUUGGAAAGCUUUGACCUUUUAAAGAAAUGUCUAAUAUCGAUUGAGAGCUGCGAAGACAUUAUUUGAAAUGACUGAUGUUUAUAGCGUCUAUAGCUGAAAGACUUUAAUGUUUUUUCAAAGGGCAAUGUGUAAUAACUGAUUUAUGUCUCCUGGACUCCAGUGAAGGUACCAGGAGAUCAUUCCCUGCAGGGAAAAACUAAAUCCUGUAUGUAAACUACCUAGGUCAUACCUUCUGCUCUCUAACACCAGCCAUAUGAGAAAAUUGCAAGCACAUGUGGUUUUGAUAGGGACGCAGUGUUAGUCCUGUUCCAUGCUUUCUCAGAGCAGUUACCACAGAGCAGGACUGUUACAUAGGCAAAACCAGCCCAAUCUCACAGCGACCACAUGCAGAGAGGACUGAAAAAUCAACACACAUGUUUGGAGUAAUAUGAAGGAGAUCUCCGUGUAUUAAGUUGAGGCUCCAUGCUUCUGUGACUCACUGAGAAUUAAGUUUCAUGGUGGAAGCGCUGUUGACCUGAUCAUGGGGGUCCAUCACUGAAAGCUUGAUCAUUUGAUGGAGGAGAACUAAAUUGACAGAUGCUUAAAAUUUGUUGGAGCUACUUAAGGUUUCUGCUUUGAAAGUAUAGUACACAUUUACCACAUUGAUGCACCAGUCUGGCUCCAGGAUUUAAUGUAAUAGUUCAGCCAAAAAUGAAAAUUUGGUUAUCAUUUACUCAUCCUUAUAUUAUUCCAAACAUAUAUGGCUUUCUUUCUUUUGAAAGAUAUUUUGAAAAAUGUGUGACACUUUAUUUUACAGUGUCCUUCACCUACAGUGUCCAAUACUGAUGUCUGCCCCAGUGACAGCCUUUGUACUUUAUUUUUUUUCUGAGAGUGUUGUUACACGUUGCUUGCACUUACUAUAGUAAUAACAGUACAUUAUGAACAAUUACAAGCAACUAACCUCAAACCAAACUCUAAUCUUAACCCCAACUCUAUGUACAUGUUGUUAAUUAAUAUUACUCAGUACUUUUGUAUAAUUGGAUAACUGCACUGUAACCAGGCCACCUUAAAAUAAAGUGUAACCAAAUGUGUGCA